rnacentral:hammerhead_ribozyme from 1 species
GCACUGCUGACUAGCCCCAAACAGGACGAAACAGCUGUCCAGUGC